UUGGAUUCCUCAGAAGCUGCUGUCCCCAGGGUCACGGAGAUCAGGAUGUCUGGAGAAGUUUUGGACGUGCAACAUCAGAACAGGCCCAGAGAUCUUUAGUUCAAUCUCUUCCCAAGCACUUUUCCUGGACAAGGCUGAGGACUUCUUUGAUCACACCUACUCCUGACAUCUGAGCGGGAAAACAAGUGUCUUAUAUUGUUUUGUGCCAGUCCCAAGCCAGCUCAUUUGCCACACAUUUACUAAAUGCCAACUACGCAAUAGC
rnacentral:lncRNA from 1 species